rnacentral:rRNA from 1 species
GACGUAGGGCGCGAGCGUUGUCCGGAUUUAUUGGGCGUAAAGAGCUCGUAGGCGGUCUGUCGCGUCGGAUGUGAAAGCCCGGGGCUUAACCCCGGGUCUGCAUUCGAUACGGGCAGACUAGAGUGUGGUAGGGGAGAUCGGAAUUCCUGGUGUAGCGGUGAAAUGCGUAGAUAUCGAGAGGAACACCUGCGGCGAAGGCGGGUUGCUGGGCUGACACUGACGCUGAGGCGCGAAAGCUAGGGGAGCGAACGGG